CUUUCAAAUAAAAAAACAGGGUCCUUAUUUCAUGUUUACCCAGACAAGCUUCAGAAAGCUAUCAAAAGCUGAGUUCUAAUAUUCAAGUUAGCACACAAAAG